CUUACCAUGCAGUCGACGAUGAACCACUUCGGUGGGGAUUAGUGGCGAACGGGUGAGUAACACGUGGGCAAUCUGCCCUGCACUCUGGGACAAGCCCUGGAAACGGGGUCUAAUACCGGAUACUGACCCUCGCAGGCAUCUGCGAGGUUCGAAAGCUCCGGCGGUGCAGGAUGAGCCCGCGGCCUAUCAGCUUGUUGGUGAGGUAAUGGCUCACCAAGGCGACGACGGGUAGCCGGCCUGAGAGGGCGACCGGCCACACUGGGACUGAGACACGGCCCAGACUCCUACGGGAGGCAGCAGUGGGGAAUAUUGCACAAUGGGCGAAAGCCUGAUGCAGCGACGCCGCGUGAGGGAUGACGGCCUUCGGGUUGUAAACCUCUUUCAGCAGGGAAGAAGCGAAAGUGACGGUACCUGCAGAAGAAGCGCCGGCUAACUACGUGCCAGCAGCCGCGGUAAUACGUAGGGCGCGAGCGUUGUCCGGAAUUAUUGGGCGUAAAGAGCUCGUAGGCGGCUUGUCACGUCGGUUGUGAAAGCCCGGGGCUUAACCCCGGGUCUGCAGUCGAUACGGGCAGGCUAGAGUUCGGUAGGGGAGAUCGGAAUUCCUGGUGUAGC
rnacentral:rRNA from 1 species